rnacentral:ncRNA from 1 species
AUAUUUGUUGGACAUUUUGGUGUUCCGAUUACGAGUCCUCGUGACCGGAAUGAAAAGGGAAUCAGGUGCAAAUCCUGAACAGAACCCGCUGCUGUAAACUCAUUCAAGCGUUUCUGCAAUUCUUUUUGCCACUUUUAUUAUAUGUAAAGGGAAGGCCGCCGGAAACAGAGUAAGUCAGAAGACCUGCCAAAACAAGAAAUAAAUU